CGAGCGGCUCGUGGCGAUUUGUGCACCGGAUUGCGGGCCACGUUAAACAUGCCGCUAAAAAGGUCAGGGACUGGAAGAC
rnacentral:ncRNA from 2 species